CGGUAACAAGGUUUCCGUAGGUGAACCUGCGGAAGGAUCAUUA
rnacentral:rRNA from 2 species